CCUACGGGCGGCAGCAGUGGGGAAUAUUGGACAAUGGGCGAAAGCCUGAUCCAGCCAUGCCGCGUGUGUGAAGAAGGCCUUCGGGUUGUAAAGCACUUUCAGUGGGGAAGAAAGCCUUGGGGCUAAUACCCUCGAGGAAGGACAUCACCCACAGAAGAAGCACCGGCUAACUCCGUGCCAGCAGCCGCGGUAAUACGGAGGGUGCGAGCGUUAAUCGGAAUUACUGGGCGUAAAGCGCGCGUAGGCGGUCUGAUAAGCCGGUUGUGAAAGCCCCGGGCUCAACCUGGGAACGGCAUCCGGAACUGUCAGGCUAGAGUGCAGGAGAGGAAGGUAGAAUUCCCGGUGUAGCGGUGAAAUGCGUAGAGAUCGGGAGGAAUACCAGUGGCGAAGGCGGCCUUCUGGACUGACACUGACGCUGAGGUGCGAAAGCGUGGGUAGCAAUCAGGAUUAGAUACCCUGGUAGUC
rnacentral:rRNA from 1 species